rnacentral:lncRNA from 1 species
UAUCAAUGUGGAGUGUGUUGCAUACAAGCAAAUAGUAUUGAACAUGUUAAUGGGAUGCAUAAGGCCUCGUUGGCUAAGUUUUCUGUGCUUUUUCCAUGAUAGCCCAUUGGGUACCGGAGUUCAUGCUUCCUGCAUGAUCCAAUCUACAUCUGGUCGAAACUGCUACUCCUUUUUCUUUAGUAAAAUCACUUUGAACCUAAAAUCACUUUGAAAAAGAUAUGUGUAUAUAUAUACA